rnacentral:rRNA from 1 species
GACGAAGGAUGCGAGCGUUAUCCGGAUUCAUUGGGUUUAAAGGGAGCGUAGGUGGCCUGCUAAGUCAGCGGUGAAAUCUCUGGGCUUAACCCAGAAAUUGCCAUUGAUACUGGUGGGCUUGAGUGCAGUUGCUGUUGGCGGAAUAUGACAUGUAGUGGUGAAAUACAUAGAGAUGUCAUAGAACACCGAUUGCGAAGGCAGCUAACAAAACUGUAACUGACACUGAGGCUCGAAAGUGUGGGGAUCAAACAGG